rnacentral:rRNA from 1 species
CGCCCCUAUAGUUUUGAAUCCUGGCUCAGGAUGAACGCUGGCGGCGUGCCUAAUACAUGCAAGUCGAACGCUUUGUGGUUCAACUGAUUUGAAGAGCUUGCUCAGAUAUGACGAUGGACAUUGCAAAGAGUGGCGAACGGGUGAGUAACACGUGGGAAACCUACCUCUUAGCAGGGGGAUAACAUUUGGAAACAGAUGCUAAUACCGUAUAACAAUAGCAACCCGCAUGGUUGCUACUUAAAAAGAUGGUUCUGCUAUCACUAAGAGAUGGUCCCGCGGUGCAUUAGUUAGUUGGUGAGGUAAUGGCUCACCAAGACGAUGAUGCAUAGCCGAGUUGAGAGACUGAUCGGCCACAAUGGGACUGAGACACGGCCCAUACUCCUACGGGAGGCAGCAGUAGGGAAUCUUCCACAAUGGGCGAAAGCCUGAUGGAGCAACGCCGCGUGUGUGAUGAAGGGUUUCGGCUCGUAAAACACUGUUGUAAGAGAAGAAUGACAUUGAGAGUAACUGUUCAAUGUGUGAACGGUAUCUUACCAGAAAGGAACGGCUAAAUACGUGCCAGCAGCCGCGGUAAUACGUAUGUUCCAAGCGUUAUCCGGAUUUAUUGGGCGUAAAGCGAGCGCAGACGGUUAUUUAAGUCUGAAGUGAAAGCCCUCAGCUCAACUGAGGAAUUGCUUUGGAAACUGGAUGACUUGAGUGCAGUAGAGGAAAGUGGAACUCCAUGUGUAGCGGUGAAAUGCGUAGAUAUAUGGAAGAACACCAGUGGCGAAGGCGGCUUUCUGGACUGUAACUGACGUUGAGGCUCGAAAGUGUGGGUAGCAAACAGGAUUAGAUACCCUGGUAGUCCACACCGUAAACGAUGAGUGCUAGGUGUUUGAGGGGUUUCCGCCCUUAAGUGCCGCAGCUAACGCAUUAAGCACUC